ensembl:lncRNA
UAUUCUUGCAAGGAGAGAGUACACAGGUUACAGAGUAACAGUGAAUAAUCUCUAAAUUAAUACAGGACAAUCUGCAGUACUUAAAGGGGAAAAAUGGGUAUGGUAAAAUGUGUGUCAGUAAAACACAUUCCCCUUGUUCCAUCACAUAUCCUGGACUUCACACAAGGGACAGGCUGUCGUCCCCCACAUGGGUAACCUUCUCAACACUUGAGGAGUCACAAUUACUGGACAAACAACAGAUAGACACUAAAGGAUUAUACAGAUUUACAAGUAACCCUCCAAUCCACUGGUGCCGGUCAAGAAUGCCCCUCUAAACAAAUACCAGAUCCCUCUCUAACACAUUCCUUUUCUCAUCCAAACAUGGGGACUCCUGCAAAAAGCAAAUACAGAGUCAAAGUAGAAUCUCUCUACCAGGGCUGCAAUACCAGGAACAUGUGAAGUGGUCUGAGAACCAUCACUGACUAUAAAGGCUAUUCAGGCAGUGUGGGGGAAGUGUUGGCUUCUCUCCCUGAGGAACUAAACUCUGUCUAUACUCACUUUGAGAACAUCAUCCCUGGUGUUAGAAAUCAGCCAUUUCGUACAGUGGUUGUGAUAAUUAUCGCAUACCCGUUUGUCAAGGGAGAGAGUAAUUCAAUUAUUUAUUGCAGCAUUAAAUAGUCUUGUUCAUGAGGUUACGGACCUGACCUUCCUUACACAACCUCAAUCUCAUCUCACUCAAUCUCUUCUCACUGUAAUGUUGGUUACAAGCUGAUAUAUACUUUGAAGGGUGUGUCUACCUAGCAAAGAUCAGGUUUCCAAGACAGUAACCCCCAUGCCAAAUGGUCUAUGUAAACAUUCCUGUGGUUAUCAGAGCACAACCUACAGAGAGAGAAUCUAAACACAGAGGUUUCUGUUCUCAUUAUCUAGGCACAUUCACUUCCAAUGAAACGUACAUUCAUAUUGUAAUUGUUAAUGCUCAGAUUCCACAGCAUGGAUACUCAAAUGGACCAGGAUGGUCCUUUACAAAUGACCAGGGCAGACGUUUGCAAAGCCCUAAAAAGAAUUAACACCCGUAAGGCUCCUGGACCAGAUAACGUCUCAGGUCGUGUUCUCAAGUUUGCCUACAGACAAAACAGAUCCACAGAGGAUGUCAUCGCUCUGACCCUCCACUCUGCACUCUCUCAUCUGGACAAAAGGAACACAUAUGUGUGAAUGCUGUUCAUUGACUACAGCUCAGCCUUCAACACCAUUGUGCCCCACAAGCUAGUGGUGAAGCGCAGGGAUCUGGGUCUCAACCCCUCUAUGUGCAGAUGGAUCCUGAACUUCCUGACGGGCAGACCCCAGGUGGUGCGGAUGGGCAACACCUCCUCACUGACUCUCAGUACUGGUUCUCCCCAGGGCUGUGUGCUGAGCCCGCUCCUGUACUCUCUCUCCACCCACGACUGCCUGGCAACCCACGUCACCAACACCAUCGUUAAGUUUGCUGACGACACCACCAUCAUAGACAUGAUCUCUGACAAUGACGAGUCAGCUAUAGAGACCAAGUAAGGUCACUGACUUUGUGGUGUCUGGAUAACAACCUCCAGCUCAGUAUCGGCAAAACGAAGGAGAUGGUUGUUGAUCACAGGAAGCAGCGGCGGGGAGACCACGCCCCCAUACACAUCAAUGGGUCUGCAGUAGAGAGAGUUCACACAAAAUCAGGUACCUCGGGGUCAACAUCAGGGAUGACUUGACCUGGUCUCAUCACUCUAACAUCUUGGUGAAGGAGGCCAGGAAACGGCUCUUCUUCCUACACUGAUUAAGGAGAUUUGACAUGCAUUCUAGGAUACUCACCAACUUCUACAGAUGCACUAUCGAGAGUAUCCUGACUGGCUGUGUCACUGCCUGGUAUGGCAGCUGCACCGCCCUCGACCGUAAAGCACUUCAGAGGGUGAUUAAAACAGCUGAGAGCAUCACAAGGUCUGACCCGCCAUCCCUGCAGGAUCUCUACACAGAGAGGUGUAGGAGGAGGAGCAAAUGGGUCAUGUACACCUGUCAUUUUAUAUCAUGUACACCUGUCAUUUUAUAUCAUGUACACCUGUCACUUUAUAUCAUGUACACCUGUCAUUUUAUAUCAUGUACACCUGUCACUUUAUAUCAUGUACACCUGUCAUUUUAUAUCAUGUACACCUGUCACUUUAUAUCAUGUAUACCUGUCACUUUAUAUCAUGUACACCUGUCAUUUUAUAUCAUGUACACCUGACAUUUUAUAUCAUGUACACCUGUCACUUUAUAUCAUGUACACUUGUCACUUUAUAUCAUGUACACCUGUCACUUUAUAUCAUGUACACUUGUCAUUUUAUAUCAUGUACACCUGUCACUUUAUAUCAUGUACACUUGUCAUUUUAUAUCAUGUAUACCUGUCACUUUAUAUCAUGCACACCUGUCAUUUUAUAUCAUGUACACCUGUCAUUUUAUAUCAUGUACACCUGUCACUUUAUAUCAUGUACACCUGUCACUUUAUAUCAUGUACACUUGUCAUUUUAUAUCAUGUACACCUGUCACUUUAUAUCAUGUACACCUG